rnacentral:rRNA from 1 species
UACGUAGGCGGGAAAUUAAGUCAGUAAUGAAAUCCCACAGCUUAACUGUGGAACUGUUAUUGAUACUGGUUUUCUUGAAUAUAGUUGAGGUAGGCGGAAUGUGUAAUGUAGCGGUGAAAUGCUUAGAUAUUACACAGAACACCGAUUGCGAAGGCAGCUUACUAAGCUAUGAUUGACGCUGAGGUACGAAAGCGUGGGGAGCGAACAGGAUUAGAUACCCUGGUAGUCC